GACGAACGCUGGCGGCGUGCCUAAUACAUGCAAGUAGAACGCACAGUUUAUACCGUAGCUUGCUACACCAUAAACUGUGAGUUGCGAACGGGUGAGUAACGCGUAGGUAACCUGCCUGGUAGCGGGGGAUAACUAUUGGAAACGAUAGCUAAUACCGCAUAAUAUUGAUUAUUGCAUGAUAAUUGAUUGAAAGAUGCUAUUGCAUCACUACCAGAUGGACCUGCGUUGUAUUAGCUAGUAGGUGAGGUAACGGCUCACCUAGGCGACGAUACAUAGCCGACCUGGGAGGGUGAUCGGCCACACUGGGACUGAGAACCGGCCCAGACUCCUACGGGAGGCAGCAGUAGGGAAUCUUCGGCAAUGGACGAAAGGCUGACCGAGCAACGCCGCGUGAGUGAAGAAGGUUUUCGGAUCGUAAAGCUCUAUUGUAAGAGAAGAACGGGUGUGAGAGUGGAAAGUUCACACUGUGACGGUAUCUUACCAGAAAGGGACGGCUAACUACGUG
rnacentral:rRNA from 1 species